rnacentral:sRNA from 1 species
AUGUGAACGUUACCAAACUGUUGCCUCGGCGGGAUCUCUGCCCCGGGUGCGUCGCAGCCCCGGACCAAGGCGCCCGCCGGAGGACCAACCAAAACUCUUUUUGUAUACCCCCUCGCGGGUUUUUUAUAAUCUGAGCCUUCUCGGCGCCUCUCGUAGGCGUUUCGAAAAUGAAUCAAAACUUUCAACAACGGAUCUCUUGGUUCUGGCAUCGAUGAAGAACGCAGCGAAAUGCGAUAAGUAAUGUGAAUUGCAGAAUUCAGUGAAUCAUCGAAUCUUUGAACGCACAUUGCGCCCGCCAGUAUUCUGGCGGGCAUGCCUGUCCGAGCGUCAUUUCAACCCUCGAACCCCUCCGGGGGGUCGGCGUUGGGGAUCGGCCCUCCCUUAGCGGGUGGCCGUCUCCGAAAUACAGUGGCGGUCUCGCCGCAGCCUCUCCUGCGCAGUAGUUUGCACACUCGCAUCGGGAGCGCGGCGCGUCCACAGCCGUUAAACACCCAACUUCUGAAAUGUUGACCUCGGAUCAGGUAGGAAUACCCGCUGAACUUAAGCAUAUCAAUAAGCGGAGGAAAAGAAACCAACAGGGAUUGCCCCAGUAACGGCGAGUGAAGCGGCAACAGCUCAAAUUUGAAAUCUGGUCCCUAGGGCCCGAGUUGUAAUUUGUAGAGGAUGCUUUUGGUGAGGUGCCGCCCGAGUUCCCUGGAACGGGACGCCACAGAGGGUGAGAGCCCCGUCUGGCUGGCCGCCGAGCCUCUGUAAAGCUCCUUCGACGAGUCGAGUAGUUUGGGAAUGCUGCUCAAAAUGGGAGGUAUAUGUCUUCUAAAGCUAAAUAUUGGCCAGAGACCGAUAGCGCACAAGUAGAGUGAUCGAAAGAUGAAAAGCACCUUGAAAAGAGGGUUAAAUAGUACGUGAAAUUGUUGAAAGGGAAGCGCUUGUGACCAGACUUGGGCGCGGCGGAUCAUCCGGGGUUCUCUCCGGUGCACUUCGCCGCGUCUAGGCCAGCAUCAGUUCGUCCCGGGGGGAAAAAGGUUUCGGGAACGUGGUCCCUUCCGGGAGUGUUAAAGCCCGUUGCUAAAAACCCUGGCGUGGACUGAGGACCGGCACUU